rnacentral:rRNA from 1 species
GACGAACGCUGGCGGCGUGCUUAACACAUGCAAGUCGAACGGAAAGGCCCUGCUUUUGUGCGGUGCUCGAGUGGCGAGCGGGUGCGUAACACGUGAGUAACCUGCCCUUGACUUUGGGAUAACUUCACGUAACUAGAGCUACUAUCGUAUAGGAUCUCCUGCUGCAGUGAGGGGGUUGGAACGUUUCGGCGGUUGGGGCUGGACGAGCGGCUUAUGAGCUUGUUAGUUGGGUAGUCGCUUACCCAGGCUUUGACGGGUAGCCGGCCUGAGAGGGUGGCCGGCCACAUUGGGACUGAGAUAGGGCGCAGACUCCAAUGGGAGGCAGCAGUCGCGAAUAUUGCACAAUGGGCGGAAGCCUGUUGCAGAAACGCCGCGUGCGGGAUGACGGCCUUCGGGUUGUAAACCGCUGUAGCCUGUGACGAAGCGUGAGUGACGGUAAUCAGUAAAGAAGCACCGGCUAACUACGUG